rnacentral:miRNA from 10 species
CUGUUGCCAUGACGCCAGCUGCAGUGGGGGAGGCACGGCUGGGGCUGCAUGUUCAUGGAGCCAGUGGGGGCCAAGAGCAGG